rnacentral:rRNA from 1 species
CUUAGCGGGUACUACACAUGCAGUCGUACGAGAAUUCCGAUUCGUCGGGAGAGUAAAGUGGCGAACGGGUGAGUAACACUAGGGUAAUCUUCCCUUAAAUAAGGGAUAACGUUGCGAAAGCGACGCUAAUACCUUAUAAGACUACGAUCUCUGAGGAGAUAGUAGGAAAAGAUGGCCUCUGUUUCAAGCUAUCGUUUAAGGAUGAGCCCUAGCACUAUUAGCUAGUUGGUGAGGUAACGGCUCACCAAGGCGACGAUGGUUAGCUGGUCUGAGAGGAUGACCAGCCACACUGGAACUGAGACACGGUCCAGACUCCUACGGGAGGCAGCAGUGAGGAAUAUUGCGCAAUGGGGGAAACCCUGACGCAGUGACGCCGCGUGAGUGAUGAAGGCUUUCGAGUCGUAAAGCUCUGUUAGGUGGAAAGAAACAUUCCGGCGCUAAUAUCGCCGGGACUUGACGGUACCACCAGAGGAAGCACCGGCUAACUCCGUGCCAGCAGCCGCGGUAAUACGGAGGGUGCAAGCGUUGUUCGGAUUUACUGGGCGUAAAGGGCGUGUAGGCGGUUAACUAAGUCAGAUGUGAAAUCCCUUAGCUUAACUAAGGAAGUGCAUUUGAAACUGGCUAACUGGAGUACAGGAGAGGAAAGUGGAAUUCCCAGUGUAGAGGUGAAAUUCAUAGAUAUUGGGAGGAACACCGGUAGCGAAGGCGGCUUUCUGGCCUGAUACUGACGCUGAGACGCGAAAGCGUGGGUAGCAAACAGGAUUAGAUACACUGGUAGUCCACGCCGUAAACGAUGGGAACUAGGUGUAGGAAGUGUUGACCCUUUCUGUGCCGAAGCUAACGCAUUAAGUUCCCCGCCUGGGGAGUACGGUCGCAAGGCUAAAACUCAAAGGAAUUGACGG